rnacentral:rRNA from 1 species
CGCCAACUAGCUAGCCUCCUACACCAAAAACAACAACCCAUUAUAAAUAACCCCAAACACACUACAACCCAAUGUAAAACAAAC